rnacentral:tmRNA from 1 species
GGGGGUGCACCGGUUUCGACGAUUUAGAUGAUGCUUUUAUUGCAGGUGAGGUUCGUUGCCUGUUCUCUAAACAGACAAAACAAUUUAACUGGCGAAGAUAAUUCACAGUUUGCUCUUGCUGCGUAAGCAGUUUUGAGCCGGUAUUUUAGUUGCGCCGCUUUGAGCAAUUAGAAUUACUGUCAUAAACCAAGGCUUGCUGCAUAUCGUGUUUGGUCUUUAUGCAGGACUUUUUAUCAAAAUACGGAGACGACGCUUGUAGUGCUGCUACCGUUUCCCGACAAUUACCUCGCACUAAUAAACCUGUAGACGUAACUGUGUCGCUUCUUCGGACGGGGGUUCAAUUCCCCCCAUCUCCAU